rnacentral:piRNA from 1 species
UUGCAGGAAAACAAGCUUAACAUGCCCACU